GGUUUAACGCAAAGUUCCAUCGCCGUUCUUUGGGGGCAUUUCAUCAUUCACUUCCCACCAUUAAUGGAUCUCUUCAUCGCUGUUCCCCUCCUUCCCACCACUCCACUUCUUUCCCCUCGGUUCUAGGCGCCCACUGAGGGACGGAUUGAUCCAUCCUUUCUCGCAUUGUUUCCGUUCCUCCACCUUUUGUGGCUUCGAUUUAGCUUCAAUGGCGUCUUCGGGCAAUUUCUUGCUUGUUUUCGCUCUGGCGACGUUGAUUUUUGUGGUGGCUGCUUGGGAUGUUGGGACCCGGAUUACGCUUGACCAGCAUGGCAUUCGAAACUCCUCAAUCAAAGCAUUGAUUGCCACAGCUUCUGCAAGCGGGUAUGACAAAGGUGCAUCGACU